CCUACGGGUGGCUGCAGUGGGGAAUAUUGGACAAUGGGGGGAACCCUGAUCCAGCCAUGCCGCGUGUGUGAAGAAGGCCCUCGGGUUGUAAAGCAUUUUCAGUGAGGAAGAACGCCUGGUGGUUAAUACCCAUCAGGAAAGACAUCACUCACAGAAGAAGCACCGGCUAACUCCGUGCCAGCAGCCGCGGUAAUACGGAGGGUGCGAGCGUUAAUCGGAAUUACUGGGCGUAAAGCGCGCGUAGGUGGCUUGAUAAGCCGGUUGUGAAAGCCCCGGGCUCAACCUGGGAACGGCAUCCGGAACUGUCAAGCUAGAGUGCAGGAGAGGAAGGUAGAAUUCCCGGUGUAGCGGUGAAAUGCGUAGAGAUCGGGAGGAAUACCAGUGGCGAAGGCGGCCUUCUGGACUGACACUGACACUGAGGUGCGAAAGCGUGGGUAGCAAACAGGAUUAGAUACCCCUGUAGUC
rnacentral:rRNA from 1 species